CUCCAAGGGGGGGGCCAAACAUGCAAGUCGAGCUGACGGAUGGUGAGCUUGCUCCCAGACCGUCAGCGGCGGAGGGGGAGAAGGGCGGGGGCAACCGGCCUGAAGACUGGGAAACUCCGGGAAACCGGGGCUAAUACCGGAUAACUCUUUCCCUCACAUGAGGAAAAGCUGAAAGAUGGCAUCUCGCUAUCACUUACAGAUGGGCCCGCGGCGCAUUAGCUAGUUGGUGAGGUAACGGCUCACCAAGGCCACGAUGCGUAGCCGACCUGAGAGGGUGAUCGGCCACACUGGGACUGAGACACGGCCCAGACUCCUACGGGAGGCAGCAGUAGGGAAUCUUCCGCAAUGGACGAAAGUCUGACGGAGCAACGCCGCGUGAGUGAUGAAGGUUUUCGGAUCGUAAAACUCUGUUGUCAGGGAAGAACAAGUACCGGAGUAACUGCCGGUACCUUGACGGUUUUUUGACCAGAAAGCCACGGCUAACUACGUGCCAGCAGCCGCGGUAAUACGUAGGUGGCAAGCGUUGUUUGUGUUUUUUUGGGCGUAAAGCGCGCGCAGGCGGUUCCUUAAGUCUGAUGUGAAAGCCCCCGGCUCAACCGGGGAGGGUCAUUGGAAACUGGGGAACUUGAGUGCAGAAGAGAAGAGUGGAAUUUCACGUGUAGCGGUGAAAUGCGUAGAGAUGUGGAGGAACACCAGUGGCGAAGGCGACUUUUUGGUCUUUAACUGACGCUGAGGCGCGAAAGCGUGGGGAGCAAACAGGAUUAGAUACCUCUGGGUAGUUCCACGCCGUAAACGAUGAGUGCUUAAGUUGUUAGAGGUGUUUCUCGCUCCUUUUAGUUGCUUGCAGCAAACGCAUUUUAAGCACUUCCGCCUGGGGAGUACGGCCGCAAGGGCUUAACUCAAAGGAAUUUGACGGGGGGCCCGCACAAGCGGGUGGGAGCAUGUGUGUUUUAUUUCGAAGCACGCGGAGAACCCUUACCAGGUUUUUGACAUUUUCUUGACACCCCUAGAGAUAGGCCGUUCUCUCCUUUCGGGGGACAGGAUGACAGGUGGUGCAUUGGCUGUUCUUCAGCUUCGUUGCCGUGAGAUGUUUUUGGUUAGUUCUCCGCACGAGCCGCCACCCUCUUGUAUCUUAUGUUGUCCAGCAUUUCAGUUGGGCCACUCUUAAGGUGACCUGUCGGUACAAACUGGAGAAGGUGAGAUGUACACUCUCAAAUCCAUUCUAUGUGGCCUCCCC
rnacentral:rRNA from 1 species